CGCGGUAAGGUGACUGCGGAGGACAUUAUCGAGUCAUUGAAACGGGUUGUAGCUGGCCUUUCCAAGGCAUGUGCACGCCCUGCUCAUCCACUCUCACACCUGUGCACUCAUUGUGGGUUUCUGGAGGUGAUGUGGGGUUUCGGCUCCGCGGAGGUUCUGGGGCCUACGUUUUAUUACAAACUCUUCAGUGUCAGAAUGUUUAUUGCGACGUAACGCAUCCAUAUAUAUAACUUUCAGCAACGGAUCUCUUGGCUCUCGCAUCGAUGAAGAACGCAGCGAAAUGCGAUAAGUAAUGUGAAUUGCAGAAUUCAGUGAAUCAUCGAAUCUUUGAACGCACCUUGCGCUCCUUGGUAUUCCGAGGAGCAUGCCUGUUUGAGUGUCAUGAAAUUAUCAACCUUACGAAGUCUUUUGCGAGACUUGUGGAGGCUUGGACUUGGAGGCUUGUCGGCCCGGCUCGUGGUCGGCUCCUUUUAAAUGCAUUAGCUCGUUCCCUUGCGGAUCGGCCGUCGGUGUGAUAAUUGUCUACGCCGUGACCGUGAAGUGUUUUUGGGCGAGCUUCGAAUCGUCUCUCGGGAGACAUUUGAUUUUAUAUCGAAAUCUGACCUCAAAUCAGUAUACAGCCCCAGUU
rnacentral:rRNA from 1 species